rnacentral:rRNA from 1 species
AAAAUCCGGCAGCGUAAUUCAAGGGUGUGCGACGAGUGGCCUUGUGCCGCGAAGCAAUCGGAAGUGGUUCCAAGAAAAGCCUCUAAGCUUCAGUCUAACGAGACCGUACCGCAAACCGACACAGGUGGGCGAGAUGAGUAUUCUAAGGCGCUUGAGAGAACUCGGGAGAAGGAACUCGGCAAAUUGGUACCGUAACUUCGGGAUAAGGUACGCCCUUGUAGUUUGACUGGCCUGCGCCAGAAGGACGAAGGGGUUGCAAUAAAUUGGUGGCUGCGACUGUUUAAUAAAAACACAGCACUCUGCAAACACGAAAGUGGACGUAUAGGGUGUGACUCCUGCCCGGUGCUGGAAGAUUAAAUGAUGGGGUGCAAGCUCUUGAUUGAAGUCCCAGUAAACGGCGGCCGUAACAAUAACGGUCCUAAGGUAGCGAAAUUCCUUGUCGGGUAAGUUCCGACCUGCACGAAUGGAGUAACGAUGGCCACACUGUCUCCUCCCGAGACUCAGCGAAGUUGAAAUGUUUGUGAUGAUGCAAUCUACCCGCGGCUAGACGGAAAGACCCCAUGAACCUUUACUGUAGCUUUGCAUUGGACUUUGAACCAAUCUGUGUAGGAUAGGUGGGAGGCUUUGAAGCGGGGACGCCAGUUCUCGUGGAGCCAUCCUUGAAAUACCACCCUGGUUUGUUUGAGGUUCUAACCUUGGUCCGUUAUCCGGAUCGGGGACAGUGCAUGGUAGGCAGUUUGACUGGGGCGGUCUCCUCCCAAAGUGUAACGGAGGAGUUCGAAGGUACGCUAAUUACGGUCGGACAUCGUGAUGAUAGUGCAAUGGCAUAAGCGUGCUUAACUGCGAGACUGACAAGUCGAGCAGGUACGAAAGUAGGACAUAGUGAUCCGGUGGUUCUGUAUGGAAGGGCCAUCGCUCAACGGAUAAAAGGUACUCUGGGGAUAACAGGCUGAUUCCUCCCAAGAGUUCAUAUCGACGGGGGAGUUUGGCACCUCGAUGUCGGCUCAUCACAUCCUGGGGCUGUAGCCGGUCCCAAGGGUAUGGCUGUUCGCCAUUUAAAGUGGUACGUGAGCUGGGUUUAAAACGUCGUGAGACAGUUUGGUCCCUAUCUGCCGUGGGCGUUGGAAAUUUGAAGGGGGCUGCUCCUAGUACGAGAGGACCGGAGUGGACGAACCUCUGGUGUACCGGUUGUCACGCCAGUGGCAUUGCCGGGUAGCUAAGUUCGGAAGAGAUAACCGCUGAAUGCAUCUAAGCGGGAAACUUGCCUUGAGAUGAGAUUUCCCAGAGCCUUGAGCUCUUUAAAGGGUCGUUCGAGACCAGGACGUUGAUAGGCUGGGUGUGGAAGUG